AUGGCAAGAGAACUCCAUGUUGUGAUUCUUCCAUGGUCUGCCUUUGGCCAUAUAAUCCCUUUGGUUGAACUCUCCAAAGCCUUAGCAAAAGCCAACAUUCAUGUCUCCUUCAUAUCUACCCCCAAAAACAUCCAAAGGCUCCCCAAAAUCCCACCUGAGUUACAGUCUCUCAUAACAAUGGUGCCCUUUCCUUUGCCAGCUUGGGAUGCUGAUCGGCUCGAAGGCGCCGAGGCCACGGUGGACAUACCUUUCGAGAAGAUGGACGACUUGAAGGUUGCAUUUGAUCUUCUAAAACAACCCUUUAAGCAGUUCAUUGCUGAUCAAGUACCAGAUUGGAUCAUCAGCGACUUCGCUGCUCACUGGGCGGUUGACGUGUCCAAAGAGUACGGUGUUCCUCUUGCCUACUUCUCUCCUUUCUCUGCUGCUAAUAACGUCUUCUGUGGUUCACCGGAAUAUCUCUUUAAUGCUCCGCCGUCACCGGAAGUCUUCACCUCCCCACCGGAGUGGGUUCCUUUUCCGUCUUUGGUAGCACUCAAGGGAUUUGAGGCAGUCCGUUGGCAUGCAGGCGUUUAUACUGUGAAUCGUUCUGGGAUAUCUGAUGCUGCAAGGUUUGCCAAGAUUGUGGCAGGAUGUCAAGUACUAGCUGUUCGUAGUUGCAAUGAGAUUGAAAGAGAGUACUUGGAGUUGCAUGCGAAACUCACCGGAAAACCAGUGAUUCCCACAGGUCUGCUACCUCCAAAGAAUUCAAAAAGGGAGUCGGGGAAUAAUGAUGUGACAUUUGAUUGGCUUGAUAAACAGAAACCCAGGUCAGUUGUGUUUGUAGGGUUUGGGAGUGAGUGUAAGCUGAGCAAGGAGCAAGUGUAUGGGAUAGCUCAUGGUCUGGAGCUUUCAGAGUUGCCAUUUCUCUGGGCACUCAGAAAGCCCAGUUGGGCUAGUACUGAUGCUGAGGCUCUACCUCUAGGUUUUAUUGACAGAACAUCAAAGAAAGGCCUUGUUUGCUUGGGAUGGGUGCCACAAAUCGAAAUCCUGGGGCAUCCAUCAGUUGGGGGCUCUCUGUUUCACGCUGGAUGGGGUUCUGUGAUUGAAACUCUGCAAUUUGGGCACUGCCUUGUUGUGUUACCCUUCAUUAUUGAUCAGCCUCUGAAUGCAAGGCUUCUGGUGGAGAAGGGUCUGGCUGCCGAAGUGGAACGCAACGAAGAUGGGUCGUUUACUGGGGAUGACAUAUCGAAAACGCUGAGGCUGGCAAUGGUGGAAGAGGAAGGAGAGCAGCUGAGAAUCAAUGCAAGGAAAGCUGCUAGUUUUUUUUGGAGAUGAGAAGCUGCAGCAUGACCACUACCUUGGUGCAUUUGUUGAUUAUCUGAAGAAUAAUGGCAGGAAAAGGUCUUAUUCCUAG